AUAUAAUAUUGAUCAUAAUAGAGAAGUAUUGCAACAUGUAACUUCUUAAAGACAUUACAUAAAUUCAUUUGAUAUUGUAUCCAAUUAUAAUA